rnacentral:rRNA from 1 species
CGCUGGCGGCGUGCUUAACACAUGCAAGUCGAACGAGAACGGGCCUUCGGGCUGUCAGCUAAGUGGCGCACGGGUGAGUAAAGCAUAGGUAACGUGCCCUAGAGAGCGGGAUAACAGUUGGAAACGGCUGCUAAUACUGCAUAUGCCUUGAUAUCAGAAGAUAGAGAGGGAAAGAUUUAUUGUUCUAGGAUCGGCCUAUGUCCUAUCAGGUAGUUGGAGAGGUAAGAGCUCCCCAAGCCAAUGACGGGUAGCUGGUUUGAGAGGAUGAUCAGCCACACUGGUACUGAGACACGGACCAGACUCCUACGGGAGGCAGCAGUGGGGAAUAUUGCACAAUGGGGGGAACCCUGAUGCAGCAACGCCGCGUGGGGGAUGACACAUUUCGGUGCGUAAACUCCUUUUAUAUGAGAAGAUAAUGACGGUAUCAUAUGAAUAAGCAUCGGCUAACUCCGUGCCAGCAGCCGCGGUAAUACGGAGGAUGCAAGCGUUACUCGGAAUCACUGGGCGUAAAGAGCAUGUAGGCUGGUUAAUAAGUCAGGUGUGAAAUCCAACAGCUCAACAGUUGAACUGCACUUGAAACUGUUAAUCUAGAGUAUGGAAGGGGCAGAUGGAAUUAGUGGUGUAGGGGUAAAAAUCCGUAGAGAUCACUAGGAAUACCGAAAGCGAAGGCGAUCUGCUGGGACAUAACUGACGCUGAGAUGCGAAAGCGUGGGGAGCAAACAGGAUUAGAUACCCUGGUAGUCCACGCCCUAAACGAUGGACACUAGUCGUCGGUGCUUUGAUAGUAUCGGUGAUGCACUUAACAGAUUAAGUGUCCCGCCUGGGGACUACGGUCGCAAGAUUAAAACUCAAAGGAAUAGACGGGGACCCGCACAAGUGGUGGAGCAUGUGGUUUAAUUCGAAAAUACGCGAAGAACCUUACCUGGCCUUGACAUUGAUAGAAUCUUUUAGAGAUAAGAGAGUGCCUUUUCGGAGGAGCUAGAAAACAGGUGCUGCACGGCUGUCGUCAGCUCGUGUCGUGAGAUGUUGGGUUAAGUCCCGCAACGAGCGCAACCCUCGUCCUUAGUUGCUAACAGUUUAGCUGAGCACUCUAGGGAGACUGCCUUCGCAAGGAGGAGGAAGGUGAGGACGACGUCAAGUCAUCAUGGCCCUUACGGCCAGGGCUACACACGUGCUACAAUGGGGUAUACAAAGGGUUGCGAUACCGCGAGGUGGAGCUAAUCCCAUAAAAUAUCUCUCAGUUCGGAUUGUUCUCUGCAACUCGAGAGCAUGAAGCUGGAAUCACUAGUAAUCGUAGAUCAGAAUGCUACGGUGAAUACGUUCCCGGGUCUUGUACUCACCGCCCGUCACACCAUGGGAGUUGAUUUCACCCGAAACCGGGAAGCUAACCUUCGGGGGGCUACCGUUCACGGUGGAAUUAGCGACU